CUUUACUGUAGCUUUACAUUGGACUUUGAACAGAUCUGUGUAGGAUAGGUGGGAGGCUUUGAAGCGGUGCCGCUAGGUGUCGUGGAGCCAACGUUGAAAUACCACCCUGGUGUGUUUGAGGUUCUAACCUUGUCCCGUUAUCCGGGAUGGGGGCAGUGUAUGGUGGGCAGUUUGACUGGGGCGGUCUCCUCCCAAAGUGUAACGGAGGAGUUCGAAGGUACGCUAGCCACGGUCGGAAAUCGUGGUGAUAGUGCAUUGGCAUAAGCGUGCUUGACUGCGAGACUGACAAGUCGAGCAGGUACGAAAGUAGGACAAAGUGAUCCGGUGGUUCUGUAUGGAAGGGCCAUCGCUCAACGGAUAAAAGGUA
rnacentral:rRNA from 1 species